rnacentral:SRP_RNA from 1 species
CAAGGUGUUCAGUGCUAUGGAGGAGCGUGAAAAGCGAGCACGUGAAGUUCGUCAGGCCCGAGAGAAAAAGAAACAGCAGAAGC